CGGUCCAGACUCCUACGGGAGGCAGCAGUAGGGAAUCUUCCACAAUGGACGAAAGUCUGAUGGAGCAACGCCGCGUGAGUGAAGAAGGGUUUCGGCUCGUAAAACUCUGUUGUUAAAGAAGAACAUAUCUGAGAGUAACUGUUCAGGUAUUGACGGUAUUUAACCAGAAAGCCACGGCUAACUACGUGCCAGCAGCCGCGGUAC
rnacentral:rRNA from 1 species